rnacentral:rRNA from 1 species
GGACUACCGGGGUAUCUAAUCCCGUUCGCUCCCCUAGCCUUCGCGCCUCAGCGUCAGGUUCGGCCCAGGGGGCCGCCUUCGCCACGGGUGUUCCUGCUGAUCUCUACGCAUUUCACCGCUACACCAGCAAUUCCACCCCCCUCUACCGUCCUCUAGCUCACCAGUUUACGAGGCACCCUCCCCGUUGAGCAGGGAGAUUUCACAUCGUACUUAGUGUGCCGCCUGCGCGCGCUUUACGCCCAGUAAAUCCGGACAACGCUCGCCUCCUACGUAUUACCGCGGCUGCUGGCAC